GGUUACUCAAGGACUCAGAGCAUUUAUUUAGAUUAAAUAUUUGCAAAUUGGGAUAGUUUUUGGCCUAUUUUAAGAAAGAAUGGAUUCAAUACUUACAGCACCAGCAAAAGCUCAAACACUCUGUGAAAGCUCCACGCCAGCAGCAGAGAGGAUCUCACCACAGAGCUCCAGGAGAGGAGUUUUCCAGUGCAAAGGAGAAAAUUACUGUUUCCCCAGGAGGCACAGAUCCCAUGUCAAGGGGGAAAAAAAACAUUAAAACAAAAUAGAUCUGGACAGCAAUUCUGUAGUUUCACCAGGAAAUGUUUUGUGAUGAAGCUGAGCAAGUAAACAGAAUGUCAAGCACCCAGAUAAAAGACUUGCACUUAUUGCUGGACAAUCCAAAGGUGUUUUGUUGUUGUUGGUUUUUUAUAG